UUAAGCAAUGCGACCUUGCUGUAAAUAUGGACAGAGAUUGAUGCUUGUAGGCUUUUUUUUAGGUGGGCACUCUUUUAGUUCUUUGAUGCUCAUAAAGGACCCUACGUAUAUUU
rfam:Brassica oleracea var. oleracea cultivar TO1000 chromosome C1, whole genome shotgun sequence